GACCGCGACCCCAGGUCAGGCGGGUA
rnacentral:rRNA from 1 species